UGGCUUCCGAGAGCUUUAAAAGAUAGAAGCC
rnacentral:piRNA from 1 species